rnacentral:tRNA from 1 species
CCCCCGGUAGCUCCAAUUGGAUUAGAGCAAUGCCGUCGCAGGUAUAGGUUGCGGGUUUGAAUCCCGACCGGGGAC